AGUGAACGCUGGCGGUAGGCCUAACACAUGCAAGUCGAACGGCAGCACAGUAAGAGCUUGCUCUUACGGGUGGCGAGUGGCGGACGGGUGAGGAAUACAUCGGAAUCUACUUUUUCGUGGGGGAUAACGUAGGGAAACUUACGCUAAUACCGCAUACGACCUACGGGUGAAAGCAGGGGAUCUUCGGACCUUGCGCGAUUGAAUGAGCCGAUGUCGGAUUAGCUAGUUGGCGGGGUAAAGGCCCACCAAGGCGACGAUCCGUAGCUGGUCUGAGAGGAUGAUAAGCCAAACUCGAACUGAGACACGGUCCAGACUCCUACGGGAGGCAGCAGUGGGGAAUAUUGGGCAAUGGGCGCAAGCCUGAUCCAGCCAUACCGCGGGGGUGAAGAAGGCCUUCGGGUUGUAAAGCCCUUUUGUUGGGAAAGAAAAGCAGCAGGUUAAUACCCCGCUGUUCUGACGGUACCCAAAGAAUAAGCACCGGCUAACUUCGU
rnacentral:rRNA from 1 species